CAAGUUGCGCCCGAAGCCAUUAGGCCGAGGGCACGUCUGCCUGGGCGUC
rnacentral:rRNA from 1 species